rnacentral:rRNA from 1 species
UGGGGAAUAUUGGACAAUGGGGGCAACCCUGAUCCAGCCAUGCCGCGUGUGUGAAGAAGGCCUUUUGGUUGUAAAGCACUUUAAGCAGGGAGGAGAGGCUAAUGGUUAAUACCCAUUAGAUUAGACGUUACCUGCAGAAUAAGCACCGGCUAACUCUGUGCCAGCAGCCGCGGUAAUACAGAGGGUGCGAGCGUUAAUCGGAAUUACUGGGCGUAAGGCGAGUGUAGGUGGCUCAUUAAGUCACAUGUGAAAUCCCCGGGCUUAACCUGGGAACUGCAUGUGAUACUGGUGGUGCUAGAAUAUGUGAGAGGGAAGUAGAAUUCCAGGUGUAGCGGUGAAAUGCGUAGAGAUCUGGAGGAAUACCGAUGGCGAAGGCAGCUUCCUGGCAUAAUAUUGACACUGAGAUUCGAAAGCGUGGGUAGCAAACAGGAUUAGAUACCCUGGUAGUCCACGCCGUAAAACGAUGUCUACUAGCCGUUGGGGUCCUUGAGACUUUAGUGGCGCAGUUAACGCGAUAAGUAGACCGCCUGGGGGAGUACGGCCGC